rnacentral:rRNA from 1 species
GUGGGGAAUCUUCCACAAUGGACGAAAGUCUGAUGGAGCAACGCCGCGUGAGUGAAGAAGGUUUUCGGAUCGUAAAGCUCUUUCGUUAGGGACGAACGUGCUCUUUGUGAAUAAUGAGGAGUAAUGACGGUACCUAAAUAAGAAGCCACGGCUAACUACGUGCCAGCAGCCGCGGUAAUACGUAGGUGGCAAGCGUUGUCCGGAAUGAUUGGGCGUAAAGCGCGCGCAGGCGGGAUAUCAAGUCUGUCUUAAAAGUGCGAGGCUCAACCUCGUGAGGGGACAGAAACUGGUAUUCUUGAGUGUCGGAGAGGAAAGUGGAAUUCCAAGUGUAGCGGUGAAAUGCGUAGAGAUUUGGAAGAACACCAGUGGCGAAGGCGACUUUCUGGACGAUGUCUGACGCUGAGGCGCGAAAGCUAGGGGAGCGAACGGGAUUAGAAACCCGGGUAGUCC